rnacentral:rRNA from 1 species
AUGGCAAUAGUUAAAUACACAUUUGACAAGAUGAAUGCGUACUUUCUAAAGUACUCUAUGGAAAUGGAUGCACAGAUAGCGGGUGAGAACCUGCGCAAGUACAAGUACAAGUUCCCACCCAAGGUUGAUGAAUGGUUAGAAUUUCAAUCACGGAAGGCGGACUCAGAAGAAGCUAUACUAUAUGACAACGAAGAGUGGAAGUACAAAGUGAAAGAGCCAGGAGGAACCACAAACGAUGGCCGCCAACACGGAGGUCGGGCUUUCAAGGUGUCGUUAACACAAUGUGAUUGCUCUUGCGGGAGUCCAUUGUUGCUUCAUCUCCCAUGCUCACACUUGUAUACCGCCGGUCGCGUUAGGAAUGUGGACAUCAAUCACCCACGCACCGUGAGGGAGUCAGAGUUCUCAAUCAUGACGGUCAAGAAAACAUGGGCUCCCCGCUUUCACCCAUAUUUUGACCAAUCACAAUGGCCGGUGUACCAUGGUGUUCAACUAUGGCCGGAUCCGGAGUUGAAGGUUGUUAAACGGGGUAGACGUAAGACAAAGCGUCUUAGAGGCGACAUGGACGGAUGGGGCCAUGGUGGCCGCCAUGAAGCGGGCAGCGACCAAUUCCAAGAGCCUUUGAGAGCUCCCGUUGUGGGGAGUGCAAAGGUCAUGGCCACAACAAAAGAAAAUGUACGAAACCAAGGAAAAGGUCCAAGAAAAAUGAUGCAAGCACAAGCCAACAAGGAGCUACAGAAGGAAGCCAACCAAGUGGUAGCCAACAAGUGCCAAGCCAACCAAGUGGUAGCCAACAAGUGCCAAGGCAACCAAGUGGUAGCCAACAAGUGCCAAGCCAACCAAGUGUUAGCCAAAGAGGAUCUAUGCAACAAAGAGGUCGGCAACUAG